rnacentral:rRNA from 1 species
AAUGGGUCAGCGACUUAUAUUCUGUAGCAAGGUUAACCGAAUAGGGGAGCCGAAGGGAAACCGAGUCUUAACUGGGCGUUAAGUUGCAGGGUAUAGACCCGAAACCCGGUGAUCUAGCCAUGGGCAGGUUGAAGGUUGGGUAACACUAACUGGAGGACCGAACCGACUAAUGUUGAAAAAUUAGCGGAUGACUUGUGGCUGGGGGUGAAAGGCCAAUCAAACCGGGAGAUAGCUGGUUCUCCCCGAAAGCUAUUUAGGUAGCGCCUCGUGAACUCAUCUCCGGGGGUAGAGCACUGUUUCGGCAAGGGGGUCAUCCCGACUUACCAACCCGAUGCAAACUGCGAAUACCGGAGAAUGUUAUCACGGGAGACACACGGCGGGUGCUAACGUCCGUCGUGAAGAGGGAAACAACCCAGACCGCCAGCUAAGGUCCCAAAGUCAUGGUUAAGUGGGAAACGAUGUGGGAAGGCCCAGACAGCCAGGAUGUUGGCUUAGAAGCAGCCAUCAUUUAAAGAAAGCGUAAUAGCUCACUGGUCGAGUCGGCCUGCGCGGAAGAUGUAACGGGGCUAAACCAUGCACCGAAGCUGCGGCAGCGACGCUUAUGCGUUGUUGGGUAGGGGAGCGUUCUGUAAGCCUGCGAAGGUGUGCUGUGAGGCAUGCUGGAGGUAUCAGAAGUGCGAAUGCUGACAUAAGUAACGAUAAAGCGGGUGAAAAGCCCGCUCGCCGGAAGACCAAGGGUUCCUGUCCAACGUUAAUCGGGGCAGGGUGAGUCGACCCCUAAGGCGAGGCCGAAAGGCGUAGUCGAUGGGAAACAGGUUAAUAUUCCUGUACUUGGUGUUACUGCGAAGGGGGGACGGAGAAGGCUAUGUUGGCCGGGCGACGGUUGUCCCGGUUUAAGCGUGUAGGCUGGUUUUCCAGGCAAAUCCGGAAAAUCAAGGCUGAGGCGUGAUGACGAGGCACUACGGUGCUGAAGCAACAAAUGCCCUGCUUCCAGGAAAAGCCUCUAAGCAUCAGGUAACAUCAAAUCGUACCCCAAACCGACACAGGUGGUCAGGUAGAGAAUACCAAGGCGCUUGAGAGAACUCGGGUGAAGGAACUAGGCAAAAUGGUGCCGUAACUUCGGGAGAAGGCACGCUGAUAUGUAGGUGAAGCGACUU